rnacentral:rRNA from 1 species
GACGAACGCUGGCGGCGUGCUUAACACAUGCAAGUCGAACGGAAAGGCCCUGCUUUUGUGGGGUGCUCGAGUGGCGAACGGGUGAGUAACCCUUGAGUAACCUGCCCUUGACUUUGGGAUAACUUCAGGCAACUGGGUCUAAUCCCGGAUAGGAUCUCCUGCUUCUUGGUGGGGGUUGGAUAGUUUCGGCGGUUGGGGAUGGACUCGCGGCUUAUCAGAUUGUUGGUGGGGUAGCGUCUUACCAAGGCUUUGACGGGUAGCCGGCCUGAGCGGGGAACAGGCGCCACUGGGCCUGAGAUAAGGCCCAGACUAGUAUGGGAGGCAACGGUGGGGAGGAUUAUACAAUGGGCGGAAGCAUGAUGCGGCAACGCCGCGCGCGGGAUGAGGGGAAGGGGGUUGUGAACCGAAGUCGCCUGUGACGAAGCGUUAGUGACGGUACCGGGUAAAGAAGCACCGGCUAACUACGUG